UGCUAUACUGCAGUCGUACGCUUCUUUUUCCACCGGAGCUUGCUCCACCGGAAAAAGAAGAGUGGCGAACGGGUGAGUAACACGUGGGUAACCUGCCCAUCAGAAGGGGAUAACACUUGGAAACAGGUGCUAAUACCGUAUAACAAUCGAAACCGCAUGGUUUUGAUUUGAAAGGCGCUUUCGGGUGUCGCUGAUGGAUGGACCCGCGGUGCAUUAGCUAGUUGGUGAGGUAACGGCUCACCAAGGCCACGAUGCAUAGCCGACCUGAGAGGGUGAUCGGCCACAUUGGGACUGAGACACGGCCCAAACUCCUACGGGAGGCAGCAGUAGGGAAUCUUCGGCAAUGGACGAAAGUCUGACCGAGCAACGCCGCGUGAGUGAAGAAGGUUUUCGGAUCGUAAAACUCUGUUGUUAGAGAAGAACAAGGAUGAGAGUAACUGUUCAUCCCUUGACGGUAUCUAACCAGAAAGCCACGGCUAACUACGUGCCAGCAGCCGCGGUAAUACGUAGGUGGCAAGCGUUGUCCGGAUUUAUUGGGCGUAAAGCGAGCGCAGGCGGUUUCUUAAGUCUGAUGUGAAAGCCCCCGGCUCAACCGGGGAGGGUCAUUGGAAACUGGGAGACUUGAGUGCAGAAGAGGAGAGUGGAAUUCCAUGUGUAGCGGUGAAAUGCGUAGAUAUAUGGAGGAACACCAGUGGCGAAGGCGGCUCUCUGGUCUGUAACUGACGCUGAGGCUCGAAAGCGU
rnacentral:rRNA from 1 species